rnacentral:rRNA from 1 species
GAUGAACGCUAGCGGCAGGCUUAAUACAUGCAAGUCGAGGGGCAGCAGCUUUAUAGCAAUAUAGAGGCUGGCGACCGGCAAACGGGUGCGGAACACGUACACAACCUUCCUUUAAGAGGGGGAUAGCGCAUAGAAAUGUGGAUUAAUACCCCGUAACAUAUCGGUGUGGCAUCACACGGUUAUUAUAGUUUCGACGCUUGAAGAUGGGUGUGCGGCUGAUUAGGUAGUUGGCGGGGUAAAGGCCCACCAAGCCUUCGAUCAGUAGCUGAUGUGAGAGCAUGAUCAGCCACACGGGCACUGAGACACGGGCCCGACUCCUACGGGAGGCAGCAGUAAGGAAUAUUGGUCAAUGGACGCAAGUCUGAACCAGCCAUGCCGCGUGAAGGAUGAAGGUCCUCUGGAUUGUAAACUUCUUUUAUUGGGGGCGAAAAAAGGGAAUUCUUUCUCACUUGACAGUACCCUAUGAAUAAGCACCGGCUAACUCCGUGCCAGCAGCCGCAGUAA